CAGUUUUUAUUUGUUUAACAUUAAAAACAAUUGUGAUGCAUUUAAUUGCAAAGUUAAGUGAUCGUGAGUUGCUAAAUAGUCUUGAAUGCACUUUAUAGCCAUCAUAUAUUAGCUUCUAAUGCUGUAAAACUAAUUGUUAGCAUAUUCGUUUAACAAAACUGUAGCACGACUGGCAAGUGACUAUGAUUAAUAAUCCUAGGCAGUACGAUAAACUGUAGCACUUCGUUGUAAAAUCUUGUUAGUUACUCAAUGUUUUUCCAUUUUAAGCAAGUUAAAAUAAUCUUAAUGUUUUAACUGUCACGUGCGUGUUCACUGUCAGUCUGCCCAGGUCAAAAAAUACUACAGUAAAUACUAUAGUGUUUUUUAACCAUACUAUAGUAAAUUGUAGUAACUUAUACUGUAUAAAUAAUAGUAUUUACAACACUUUGUUAAUGAAUCCUUCAGCAUACUGUAGUAUACAGUGAACUGAUAAACUGUAAUAAAUACUGUAGUAUACUUUAUUUUUUACUACAGUAAACUGUAGUGUAUAUUGUAUAUACCCUAUAGUUGUAGAAAACUUAGUACAGUAUUGGGUAAAAUAAUUUGAUUAUAUUACUAUAGUUGUUAUGUUACCACAGCAACUAUAGAAUUACCACAACAAAUUAAUUCAAGUACUUUACUAUAGUAUGGGUAAAAAAAAAAACUAUAGUAUUUACUAUAAAUUACUAUAGUAUUUUUUUACCUGGGCAUGUUUACCCUACAAUACAUGUUAUGAGCAUGUCUCUUCAUUUUGACAUUGUUUUUGUAAUGUUGAUUGAGGCAUUUGACAAUUUUAAUAGUCAGACAUAACAGAGAGGCCAUCAUAAUAAUAAUACCACGUGUUAGAUUGUGUCAUGUACUGUGUACUCUAUAAGUGAUUUCAGUGCAGGCAAUAUAUGACAAAAGAAUAAUAAAUAAAUUGGUCAAGUACUAGGCUUAGGCCUAAUUUAUGUCUGUUUAUUUAUAUGAAAUGAACUUAAAAUGUUUUAUUUGACCAAUUGGACUCUCUCUUUUUCAAGAAACACAUAACAAUCCAAGAAUGAAGAUCCUUUCCUGGACUAUAGAGAUGCACCACAUGCUGCAAGGAGUUCCUCUGCCCGUUCUGCAGUUCUGCUUUGUUUCACCCAACAAAGUUGAGCAAAGUGAAAUCCCAUUUGGAGAGCCAUUUCAAAUGCAGUUCUCUAUGAAGACCAUCAUAUAUGGCCUGGCUGGGCUGCAGAAUUUCUCUGUGGGAUGUUGAGAAGGCCUUCUUCUCUGGUCUGGAUUAUCAUCACAUUGGUUAUGUCCUCCAUUUACUAUUUUAGUGAAGUGGAAGAAAAGAGAAAAGAGGGGAGAGCAUCCAUUGGAGUCAGUGAGGAAGUUCUUUCUGUGUGGUUCACGCUAUGAACAAAUUUGUUUUUGUGUGUUCAACUGUUGUAAUAUAUUAUUUUAUAAAAUAUACACAAUUUUAAAUCUA